ACCCGCUGAACUUAAGCAUAUCAAUAAGCGGAGGAAAAGAAACUAACAAGGAUUCCCCUAGUAACGGCGAGUGAAGCGGGAACAGCUCAAAUUUGGAAUCUCACAGGCUUUGCCUGUGCGAAUUGUAGUUUAGAGAAGCGUCUUCAGGGGUGGCUUGGGUAUAAGUCCGCUGGAAUGUGGCAUCAUAGAGGGUGAGAAUCCCGUUUAUGAUCCAAUGUCCACUCCGUUGUGAUACGCUUUCCAAGAGUCAGGUAGUUUGGGAUUGCUGCCUAAAAUGGGUGGUAAAUACCAUCUAAAGCUAAAUAUUGGCGAGAGACCGAUAGCGAACAAGUACCGUGAGGGAAAGAUGAAAAGAACUUUGAAAAGAGAGUUAAACAGUACGUGAAAUUGCCAAAAGGGAAACGCUUGGAGCCAGUAAGUGAGUGCGGGCAAUCAGCCACACGGGCCGGUGACGGUCGGUGUGGUGCACUUGUCUGGGCAUGCAGGUCAACAUCAGUUUGACUUUGAGUAAAAAGCCACGGGAAGGUAGCUUGGGCUUCGGCCUGAGUGUUAUAGCCCAUGGCCAUGCUCAGGGUUGGACUGACGUUCGCAGCGCUAUUUGGGUACCUGGCUGCCUCUUGAAACUAGUCUUUAGACAGCUUGCUGACUAGAGACUGGCCUAAGGAGCUCAGUUGGUUUGCCACACACCAGCGCUUGGGAUGUUGACGAAAUGGCUUCAAACGACCCGUCUUGAAACACGG
rnacentral:rRNA from 1 species